ACUACUGGGACAGUUUUUUGUGCUAAAAAGACUAAACUGUCUUCAACUUAAACAUUUUCUUGUUGUUGCACGUGAGUUUGAAGUUAAAUUUAGUUUGUGUUUUUUCUCACGUCCGAUCUCAUCUUCUCUCUCUAUUCUUCUGGUCUGAACAAACAAUAAAGCUAUGUUUCUCUCCAUAUCAAUCCUUCUGUGUCCUGGAUCUUAUAUCCUAAACGUGAAAAGAGACAGUUAAUUUAUGACAGCGGAAAAUAUAUGGUCGGGAUCGGAGUUUCUUCAAAAUUCCGUUUCGAAACUCUUUUUCUGGGUGGAUCGGUUCACAGUCAGCACCCAAUACCUUCCCCUCCAAUCAUAAGUUGCAUAAUUUCUACCUACAAAACACCGAUUAAAGUUUGAUCCUUCUGAGAAACUCUUUGUUCUUUGUUACUAAUUUUGUUUGAAGAUGAGCCUGGGAAACAAGUGAAGAUGAGCCUCUGAAAGGUGAAUGGGUGGGCUACACACAGAGUUGUGACCAUUUACUUAUCGAAAAUGUAUACAUAUGUACACAUAUCAAUCGGUACACGUGUACAUUGUUGUAAUUUAAUGCACAUGUACGCCACUAUAAACGCAGUCCACAAAAUUCUUUACUUGAAUAAAAGUCAUUCUUACUGCGGUU